rnacentral:rRNA from 1 species
UACAGAGGUCCCCGAGCGUUGUUCGGAUUCACUGGGCGUAAAGGGUGCGCAGGUGGGUUGGCAAGUUUGAUGUGAAAGCCCCGGGCUUAACCCGGGAAUGGCAUUGAAUACUGCUGAUCUGGAGGAUCGGAGGGGGGGACUGGAAUUCUUGGUGUAGCAGUGAAAUGCGCAGAUAUCAGGAGGAACACCCGUGGCGAAAGCGGCUCUCUGGGACGGUACUGACGCUGAGACGCGAAAGCGUGGGGAGCAAACAGG